rnacentral:rRNA from 1 species
UACGGAGGGUGCAAGCGUUAAUCGGAAUUACUGGGCGUAAAGCGCACGUAGGCGGCUUGGCAAGUCGGAUGUGAAAUCCCUCGGCUCAACCAAGGAAGUGCAUCCGAAACUGCUGAGCUUGAGUACUUAAGAGGAUCGCGGGAUUCCCGGUGUAGAGGUGAAAUUCGUAGAUAUCGGGAGGAACACCAGUGGCGAAGGCGGCGAUCUGGGAAGAUACUGACGCUGAGGUGCGAAAGCGUGGGGAGCAAACAGG